ACAAGAUUUCGUGCUGGCGGCGAGUGAUCAGAAAACGGUCGACGAAUCGCACAGUAUGUUCAACUUUCAUCCACUCACUACCAAAAUUUUGUGGGCGAUACCGUCAAUACGGUGCUAAAGAAUGCUUGGAAGUAUUUGCAUAUUAUUUUUGAUGACACCUAACCUAGUACAUUCCGAGUAAGAAACUAAUUUUUUUUCAAACUUCACUGAUACCACAUACGAAAUUCUUUAUUGCUAGUUUUGCAUAUUUGGGACUUUUAACCUCUAGAUUUAUUUAGAAGCUAUUUUGCUAGUUAAACUAUUCCGAUU